UACAGAGGUCUCGAGCGUUGUUCGGAUUCAUUGGGCGUAAAGGGUGCGUAGGCGGCGGGGUAAGUCUGAUGUGAAAUCCCGGGGCUCAACCCUGGAACUGCAUUGGAUACUGCCUUGCUAGGGAGCUGGAGAGGAAACUGGAAUUUACGGUGUAGCAGUGAAAUGCGUAGAGAUCGUAAGGAAGACCAGUGGCGAAGGCGAGUUUCUGGACAGCUACUGACGCUGAGGCACGAAGGCCAGGGGAGCAAACGGG
rnacentral:rRNA from 1 species